rnacentral:rRNA from 1 species
GAUGAACGCUGGCGGCGUGCCUAAUACAUGCAAGUCGAGCGAACAGACGAGGAGCUUGCUCCUCUGACGUUAGCGGCGGACGGGUGAGUAACACGUGGAUAACCUACCUAUAAGACUGGGAUAACUUCGGGAAACCGGAGCUAAUACAGGAUAAUAUAUUGAACCGCAUGGUUCAAUAGUGAAAGACGGUUUUGCUGUAACUUAUAGAUGGAUCCGCGCCGCAUUAGCUAGUUGGUAAGGUAACGGAUUACCAAGGCAACGAUGCGUAGCCGACCUGAGAGGGUGAUCGGCCACACUGGAACUGAGACACGGUCCAGACUCCUACGGGAGGCAGCAGUAGGGAAUCUUCCGCAAUGGGCGAAAGCCUGACGGAGCAACGCCGCGUGAGUGAUGAAGGUCUUCGGAUCGUAAAACUCUGUUAUUAGGGAAGAACAAAUGUGUAAGUAACUAUGCACGUCUUGACGGUACCUAAUCAGAAAGCCACGGCUAACUACGUG